UUAGAACAGAUCAAAAGACCUCAGUGACAAACGUCCAGAACAUACAUAGUAAGCUCGAGCAACAUCAAAUCAACAAGUCUCGAGAACAGAUGUCCAAAAUAUAGUACGAUCGAGCAACAAAUAAAAAACGUCAUAUCUUCGCCGGAGGCAGAAAAGUAGUCGAGACAACUUAAAAAACAAAAUGACUCUUGAAAGAGCCAACAAAAUUCGAUGUGGAUCCAAAACGGAUUUAGCAGCUCACAAACAUACAAAUAUGAUCGAGUUAUAGAGUAACAAACUCGAUCUUACAUACAAGAACAGAUAGCGAAAAUAAUCUUAAAAAUAAUUCAUUUUUUA
rnacentral:lncRNA from 1 species